CAGCAGGGUCUCCUAUUGUGCCCCCACAAUUAUGAUUCCUGGGUAAGGGAAGAGGGUGUGAAUCCCUCGCGGUCCCGCCGCUGUGAAUGGGGACGAAACCCGGUAUUGCCACUGUCCACCAGGUGGAUGGGAAGGCGCGGGGAGUAGGAUGAACCAUGAGCCAGAAGACCUGCCCAAUGAAUUGACCAUCGU
rnacentral:ncRNA from 16 species